GUAGGGAAUAUUGCACAAUGGGCGAAAGCCUGAUGCAGCAACGCCGCGUGCGCGAAGAAGGUCUUCGGAUCGUAAAGCGCUUUUCGGGGAGAUGAGGAAGGACAGUAUCCCCGGAAUAAGGCUCGGCUAACUACGUGCCAGCAGCCGCGGUAAAACGUAGGAGCCAAGCGUUAUCCGAAUUCACUGGGCGUAAAGCGCGUGCAGGCGGUCUGGUAAGUUGGAUGUGAAAUCUCCUGGCUCAACUGGGAGAGGCCGUUCAAUACUGUCAGACUAGAGGGCGACAGAGGGAGGUGGAAUUCCGGGUGUAGUGGUGAAAUGCGUAGAUAUCCGGAGGAACACCAGAGGCGAAGGCGACCUCCUGGGUCGUACCUGACGCUCAGAUGCGAAAGCUAGGGGAGCGAACGGGAUUAGAAACCCCGGUAGUCC
rnacentral:rRNA from 1 species